rnacentral:rRNA from 1 species
AUACGAAGGGGGCUAGCGUUGUUCGGAAUUACUGGGCGUAAAGCGCGCGUAGGCGGACUGAUCAGUUGGGGGUGAAAUCCCAGGGCUUAACCCUGGAACUGCCUCCAAUACUGUCAGUCUUGAGUUCGGGAGAGGUGAGUGGAAUUCCUAGUGUAGAGGUGAAAUUCGUAGAUAUUAGGAAGAACACCAGUGGCGAAGGCGGCUCACUGGCCCGAUACUGACGCUGAGGCGCGAAAGCGUGGGGAGCAAACAGGAUUAGAUACCCGAGUAGUCC